GUGACAGGGACAUGGUCACGGGGACAUGGUGACCGGGACAUGGUCACGGGGACAUGGUGACCGGGACAUGGUCACGGGGACAUGGUGACAGGGACAUGGUCACGGGGACAUGGUCACAGGGACAUGGUCACGGGGACAUGGUCACAGGGACAUGGUGACAGGGACAUGGUCACGGGGACAUGGUGACAGGGACAUGGUCACGGGGACAUGGUCACAGGGACAUGGUCACGGGGACAUGGUCACAGGGACAUGGUGACAGGGACAUGGUCACGCGGACAUGGUCACGGGGACAUGGUGACAGGGACAUGGUGACAGGGACAUGGUCACGGGGACAUGGUCACGCGGACAUGGUCACGGGGACAUGGUGACAGGGACAUGGUCACGGGGACAUGGUCACAGGGACAUGGUCACGGGGACAUGGUGACAGGGACAUGGUCACGCGGACAUGGUCACGGGGACAUGGUGACAGGGACAUGGUCACGGGGACAUGGUCACACACAAGUACUAACUGGUAAAUACCACACAACGCAUAAAAUCGGUCCUACGCACGAAAUACGCACAGAUCUGUAAGUGCGGUUGAUAAAUGAGGGCCCAGGACUGGACCUGGACCAGAUAUCAGACCUGCUUCAGAAGAACUAUUCAUCCAGACCUGUGGCCUCAUUCAUGAAGCUGCUGUUUGGGAUUAGAUUUGUGCCAAUAGGGUCAAGAAAAACACUUUGAUGGUCAAACAAAAAUUAAGAAAUUGACAGAACAAAAAUAUUGACUAAAGGAAAAAACAUGUUUCAAAAGUAAAACUUACUAUCUGAAUCAGAUUCUUAAAAUGAGUAAGAAAGUACGUUUCCUUUUUCUGUUAGCCUCCAUGUGUUUUUGUUAUCACUUUCCUUAGUUUCGUUCUCGCUGCUCACAGCUUUGCUCUCACUACCAGAUCUGCACUUACACUUUCUGGCUUUCUCCUUUGCAAUCCCUGAGUUUUUGGUUGCAAUUCUGACACAACCCUUUCGGGUGGGCGGGACUUCUGAGAAGUCCUCUCCCAUAGGACAGUGGUUUCUCUUGAGUGACAGUUCAGUGAUGUAGCCUCCAAGACAUUUUUUUCCACCUGGUCAACAACAUGAAUUUUGAGCCCCAAACACAUUAUUUCUGCUGUCUAUGGUGUCUACUGAGGAUCUAAAGUGAGUAUUGAUAAUAUAUUUUAUCUUUUCUUAGUUACUCUGUAAGUUAAGCCACUUUUUAAGUUGGUUUUAACCAGACGUUAGCUCACUAGCUAGCUGCUAAGCAAGUUAAUGUGCUAGCCUCAGGACAAUGGUCUACUGUUCCAGAGAGACGUAUUAAAAACUCAUCUUAACAUAUUCAUUUUUAUUCCAUGUUACUUGGACGGGCUAAACAAGUUCAUAGUUCUGCCUGCUCCUUUUUCAGUCAAACGAACGGAUUAUAUGAUGCAACUCUGACUGAAUAAUUAUCUAAGUAUGUUUGAUAAUAAAUUUCUUUCCAGUAUACCGAUCUGACAUUUGUCUGUCAGAACAGGACAAAUCAGAUUCAAUGUGCUUUCUGUCACGUGUUCUGUAUUCUCCAUCAGAAGAAUGUUAUCCAGGACAGAUCAUCAAUAAUGAGUUAAAUACAUGUUUUUAAUUUAUUUUUACAUAAAAUCUAUAUUUUUGUCUAAAAGCUAUUUCUUUUGUUGUUUUUCUUUCUUUCUUUUUAGAAUGAAAACUACUGCACUGCUAUACAGUGGAAGUGCUACACGGCCACAUGCAUCAACUGCAGCUGUUGACACGCAUAUGGACCUAUUGUUCGAGUCUGUGGUGGUGGAUGCUCUACCAUAUCAGGAGUCGGUGGUGGUGGAUGCUCUACCAUAUCAGGAGUCGGUGGUGGUGGAUGCUCUACCAUAUCAGGAGUCGGUGGUGGUGGAUGCUCUAUCAUAUCAGGAGUCGGUGGUGGUGGAUGCUCUACCAUAUCAGGAGUCUGUGGUGGUGGAUGCUCUACCAUAUCAGGAGUCUGUGGUGGUGGAUGCUCUACCAUAUCAGGAGUCUGUGGUGGUGGAUGCUCUACCAUAUCAGGAGUCGGUGGUGGUGGAUGCUCUACCAUAUCAGGAGUCGGUGGUGGUGGAUGUUCUACCAUAUCAGGAGUCUGUGGUGGUGGAUGCUCUACCAUAUCAGGAGUCGGUGGUGGUGGAUGCUCUACCAUAUCAGGAGUCGGUGGUGGUGGAUGCUCUACCAUAUCAGGAGUCUGUGGUGGUGGAUGCUCUAUCAUAUCAGGAGUCUGUGGUGGUGGAUGCUCUACCAUAUCAGGAGUCGGUGGUGGUGGAUGCUCUACCAUAUCAGGAGUCUGUGGUGGUGGAUGCUCUAUCAUAUCAGGAGUCUGUGGUGGUGGAUGCUCUACCAUAUCAGGAGUCUGUGGUGGUGGAUGCUCUACCAUAUCAGGAGUCUGUGGUGGUGGAUGCUCUAUCAUAUCAGGAGUCUGUGGUGGUGGAUGCUCUAUCAUAUCAGGAGUCGGUGGUGGUGGAUGUUCUACCAUAUCAGGAGUCUGUGGUGGUGGAUGCUCUACCAUAUCAGGAGUCGGUGGUGGUGGAUGCUCUACCAUAUCAGGAGUCGGUGGUGGUGGAUGCUCUACCAUAUCAGGAGUCUGUGGUGGUGGAUGCUCUAUCAUAUCAGGAGUCUGUGGUGGUGGAUGCUCUACCAUAUCAGGAGUCGGUGGUGGUGGAUGCUCUACCAUAUCAGGAGUCUGACUAAGUACCUGUGCCUGAACCUCUCUGUGUCUAGUUCAAAAGACCUGAAAGACCUGCUGUAAGCAGGCACAGGUUAAGAUUUUAAAAGAACCUGUAAGGUGAGCAACACAACACAAUAUAAAUCUUUAUUAUUAUUGUACACUGUACAGCUAGCAUAAACUUGCAUGCUCAGAAGCCACAUAUGAUUACAUCGUUCUCCAGGUUGCCUGAUGCUGAACUUCGGGCAGCUGCGUGCUCCGUGGACAAACCGCCUGUGGGAGGAGUUGUGUUGCUGUUAGGAGUUUGGGUCAGAGUCCUGGGUUUGUGUUCCCUUUAAUCUCUUCAUUAGCCUUGCUAGUCACCAUUGCUUACCUAAAAACUCUUCUCAUGGGGCAGGCACAUCCUCACACACCUGUGACUCCAUCCUUGAAUAAAAGCUGGUAGCUGGUCACUCAUCAGAGUGUUUUAACCCAUAUCUAGCCCAUGACUCUGCCGUUUUUCAAACUUACGUUCUCAUGUUCUAUGCAGAUCUAUGGAAAUUCUUUCCUUGAAGCUCCUGAUCACACAACCAUACUGGCAGUCGGCUUACCCACUACCUUCUGCUCACCCGCUUGCAACUCAUGCUGUCAUUCUCCCAGACUUCUGGUUGUUUCUCCAUCAUUCUGCUGUCUCCCGUCUGCGCUACAGCUUCAGACCGCACAGAGAACUCCCAUCAGGAUCCUGGAGACGGCACAAGGAGAUGACGACAUGAGUGUGCCCUCCCAGAUCACACCAACACCACCUGAGCACAUGGAGGCAUGUGUAAGAAAGAAAAACUGGUGAUGUAUGAGAUCUAAACAAAAAGUAUGAAUAAAAUCUAUUUUACAGUUGUUUAACCUGCCGAGCAUCGCCUCCCCAAAGAGCAGCACAAAGGUGCAACUGGCUCAGAACCAGGGUGCUCCGUUAUGCAGGUGGUCUCCUCCUCCUGCUGACACCCGAGGAUUGCCUACAACAAAGGGAAAACUGAUAUCAAUAAAGAAAUAAUUAAAUCAGAGCUAAAAGUUUAAUUUUACUGUGACGUUUGAGACUGUGGGAAAUAAAUGUGGACAUGAUGAUUUUUUAUUUUGGGGUCAGUACCUCGGGCGUUUCUCUGCAGCAACAUUUUGUCUGGCUGACAAUGAAGUAGAAAAGUCACCAGUUGAGGCAGAGUUAGACUAUGUUACUCCAGCUAAGCUACGUGUAGCUAAACUAGACACUAGUCACCAGACUAUGGUUACUAUAGAUUUUAUUAGAUUUAAUGAAGGCAUCAGCGGUGACAUAGAACUUGGUGUGUGUUUAGGUGUGUGUUAGGUGUGAGAAAAAGAAGAGGGUUGUAAUUAUUUCGAUGCCAAACAAGCUUGUAAAAUACAAAUGCUUGUGGUGCUUUACCUAGAUCAGUGCUUCCCACUAUCUCUAACCAGUACCUCACAAAAUAUAUCAGUGUCCCACUUCCUCAAGCGCUUAUGUGACAUCUGUUUCACUUCAGAGAUGUAAAAGUGGUAUCAAAUGUACUGUUCAUACAAACUUAAGUAAUAAAAACAUCAGAGAUGGAUCUGAUUUAGGGUGACAGACAGCACAUUGAAUCUGAUUUGUCCUGUUCUGACAAACAAAUGUCAGAUCGGUAUACUGGUAAGAAAUUUGUUAUCAAACAUACUCACUUAGAUAAUUAUUCAGUCAGAGUUACAUCAUAUAAUCCAUCCGUUUCACUGAAAAAGGAGCAGGCAGAACUAUGAACUUGUUUAGCCCGUCCAAGUAACAUGGAAUAAAAAAUACAUGUAUCUGUAUGUAAAUGUAGUUUAAAAGUCUUCCCACAAUAGCUCAUGUAGAUUCGGAGUUAUACCAUAAAAGUCCUGCAGUUCCACUAAAAGAGUAUUUACCUGCAAAACAGCCUGUUAGCUCAGCUUUCUGCUGCUUCCUCUGUAGCGAGUUAGCAGUACACAGGUUAGCUCCAGUAGCUGCAAAGUCUCUGAUGUUCCACGGGUUCCUGAAAAAUUAGCAAACUUAUUAACAUAAACUGCAAUAAUUAAU